AUACUUACCUUGCAGGAGAGAUGCCAUGAUAUUGAAGGUAGUUUUCCCAGGACGAGGCUUAUCCAUAGCACUCUAGAUGUGCCGACCCCUGCAAUUUCUGUAAAUGGGGAAAACUUGACUGCAUAGUGUGUGUGUGUGUGUGUGUGUGUGUGUGUGUGUG